UACAGAGGGUGCGAGCGUUGUUCGGAAUUACUGGGCGUAAAGCGCGUGUAGGCGGUUCAUUAAGUCAGAGGUGAAAUCCCGGGGCCUAACUCCGGAAGUGCAUUUGAAACUGAUGAGCUGGAGUGAUGUAGAGGAUGGCGGAAUACCCAGUGUAGUGGUGAAAUACGUAGAGAUUGGGUAGAACACCGGUGGCGAAGGCGGCCAUCUGGGCAUUAACUGACGCUGAGACGCGAAAGCGUGGGGAGCAAACAGG
rnacentral:rRNA from 1 species